rnacentral:rRNA from 1 species
UACAGAGGGGGCAAGCGUUGUUCGGAAUUACUGGGCGUAAAGGGCGCGUAGGCGGCCUGUUAAGUCGAACGUGAAAUCCCCGGGCUCAACCCGGGAACUGCGUCCGAUACUGGCAGGCUUGAAUCCGGGAGAGGGAUGCGGAAUUCCAGGUGUAGCGGUGAAAUGCGUAGAUAUCUGGAGGAACACCGGUGGCGAAGGCGGCAUCCUGGACCGGCAUUGACGCCUGAGGCGCGGAAAGC